ACAUCUCACAAUUCGUUAUCCACUGCAAGAUACACAUUUUAGCGUUCUAUAGCGAUUAAGUACUAUAUUUAUUUCUGAGUGCAAAUAAUCUAUUAAAUCGCGUGAAUAUAUUUUCAUAAUACGAAUUACCUACCUAUCUACUUUUGACGGAGAGUUUUUUUUAAUGUAAAAUGAGUUAAGUAUUUUGUUUGGUGCGCGGUAAAUUUAAUGGUUUUAUUAUAAUUUUGUUUUUUUCAUAGCCCUUCAAAGCGAGGUUCGAGUAAACACCGUUUUUAGUCUUAUUUGCGCUUAUUUAUAUUCAGUGUUGAACUCAAAUAUUUAUUCGGAAGAAGGUUAAUUAUUCCUAUGGGGCCACUAAUUUAAUAUAACUUGUUAAUCAUCAGUAGGUGAACGUGAUUAUUGCGCAACACUACAUACCUACCUCAGCCGCUAUUGUGCAGUGAAUAGAAGAUAUUAUACACAGUAAAAUAAAACAAUUUAAAAAGUUGUAUCGUCGAUGAACAACAAUUAAACACUAAAUAAAAAUAUAUUGCUUAUACGCUAAUAACAGCUGAAAUGAUAAGUGCUCAGAUGUCUCUACUAAAUUGGUGGAACUACGACCUUUUUGUGGACCUACGUAGGCCACAAUAAUAUAGAUACAUAUUUUUUUUAUACAAAUUGACAAAUUUUUAACUUUUAAACUUUUUUACAACGUUAUUAUUCAAGAAAACUAAGCGAAUUUACAAUAAUAAUAAAUGGCAAAAUUGAACAGAAAAUCGUACUUAACCGUGUUGUUUUGGGGGUCAUUUUGACAAACCAUUGUUUGAUCAGAAUCGUUUUCCCAAAAAGGUACGGAAUCGUGCUUUACGGCCUAUAUUCACGUCACAAAUUGUUUCCGAUACAAAUCAACACGAUUUAUUGUUUUUGCAAUCCGCCAAAAGGUCAUAUAAACUUGGACG